CAGUCGCCACGGUAGUACGUAGGUGGCAAGCGUUGUCCGGAAUUAUUGGGCGUAGAGCGCGCGCAGGCGGAUCAGUCAGUCUGUCUUAAAAGUUCGGGGCUUAACCCCGUGAUGGGAUGGAAACUGCUGAUCUAGAGUAUCGGAGAGGAAAGUGGAAUUCCUAGUGUAGCGGUGAAAUGCGUAGAUAUUAGGAAGAACACCAGUGGCGAAGGCGACUUUCUGGACGAAAACUGACGCUGAGGCUCGAAAGCGUGGGGAGCAAACAGGAUUAGAUACCCCUGUAGUCCCUGUCUCUUAUACC
rnacentral:rRNA from 1 species